rnacentral:rRNA from 1 species
AGAGCGAACGUUAGCGGCACGCCUAACACAUGCAAGUCGCACGAGAGUGGAGCAAUACAUGAAAGUGGCGCACGGGUGCGUAACACGUAGAUAAUCUGCCCUUUGGAGGGGGAUAACGUUCCGAAAGGAGCGCUAAUACCGCAUACAGCGUCUCUUGGUUCGCCAGGGGAUGGCAAAGGCUGGGCUCAGCAAUGACCAGUCGCCAAAGGAGGAGUCUGCGGCCCAUCAGCUAGUUGGAGAGGUAAUGGCUCACCAAGGCAAAAGACGGGUAGCUGGUCUGAGAGGAUGAUCAGCCAACACUGGUACUGGAACACGGACCAGACUCCUA